CAAGGAACCAACCAUGCUAUCUGGUUGUUCCUCGACUCCUUUGAUGGAAGAGCCUUUUAUGAAAGAGCUCAUCCGCUUCGGUACCCAAUUUAUCGGGUACCGCGAUUAUGCUGCCCAGCUCGAAGAGAAAUUUGCGGAAACCAGCAAACGUGC